rnacentral:lncRNA from 1 species
UUGCAUUCGUUUAAUUGCAUGUAACCCUGGGCUGCUAGAUGUUUGCUACUACGUAGUGCGGUCAUGACCUGCCUGAAUGCAAGCAUCUUGGGUCCCAGCAGGUUUUUCAUGGACAAAUUAAACACACAUCGAACUCCUUGUCUCACCAAAACAGAUGGAAUAAAGGUCUGUGCUCUUAAUCAGUUCUAGUGAAUUCAACAGAAACUACUUCCAAACAGACUUGCAUGAGGCCAAUCUGCAAAUGCGCUGAACUGUAGGUUGCAAAAUCAUAUACAUUAUCUUAAUCAUCCCUAUGACAGUUUCCUGUGGUAGGUGAGUCUUAUGGAAAAGGAAGCAAAAGAGGAAACCUACGUUGGCUUAAGCUUGUGUAGCACAAGGAAGCACAGUUUCUUGGAAUGAAAAGGGCAGAAAUCAUGGCUGUUUAGGGGUGUGUGUGGAAAAUAAAACAAGUUGACUGAUACACAAAGUUAAAUAAUUAGUGAAAUCACUACUCAGGGCAGUUUACAUAACAAAAACGUAAUAUUUGUGGCAAGCCUCCUGAACACACAAUGUCAUUUCAUUUCACCCAGGGUGGUCCUCUAAAGGUUUGAUGUCUCAUCAGCCGCAGCCAGCUUUCCAACAGAGAGGGCUACUGGAGGGUUACCAUUCAACUACAUCUGGAUUGGGCUGCCCUUACCUGUGCAUCUCUCAGGGCCUCCACCAUGUAGGGAAGCGCUCAAAGUGUGGGACUGAAGCUUCAGAGGUACCCAAUGAGCCACGAAACAAUCUAAGUGGCUUGGGCCAGUGGUGGUCUCGCUUCCUUUCUCAACCUGGCCUACUUCACAAGGUUGUUUGUGAGGAUAAUGAAGGAAUUACAGCAAAAAGCACACAGAGGAAACUUAACAGCUCCUGGAAACCAGGGAAAAGUCUUCUUUCUGCAGACUGCAAAAUCCUAAGUCACCUUCACAAGACUUCAGUCCAAAAUAGAUUUUCUGCAUUCUUAAAUCUACUGAGUAAUGCUCUGUUGUGCAUCUGUCCUAAAAGAAUAAGUGACACCGUCCUAUAGCAAAAUCUCGGGUCCUCUCAGUCUUGUUCUCUGCGGACAUUAUCCCUUUAUUAUUUAAGCCUUCACAGCAUGAGAUAUGGGAUGACAGAGUUGGGGAACUCUGAUAGUGCCUUCCCUAAAUUAGAGGAAUGGUUAAAGGUCACUCUUAUUCUUGAAUUGACCUCACAGCUGGAACAACAUGUGCAUUCCAGAGGAGAUCUCAUUGACAUGAAUAAACUCAGGCUAUGAACUCCA